UACAGAGGUCUCAAGCGUUGUUCGGAUUCAUUGGGCGUAAAGGGCGCGUAGGCUGCGGGGCAAGUCGGGUGUGAAAUCUCAGAGCUCAACUCUGAAACUGCACUCGAUACUGCUUUGCUUGAGGACUGGAGAGGAGAUUGGAAUUCACGGUGUAGCAGUGAAAUGCGUAGAUAUCGUGAGGAAGACCAGUGGCGAAGGCGGAUCUCUGGACAGUUCCUGACGCUGAGGCGCGAAAGCGUGGGGAGCAAACAGG
rnacentral:rRNA from 1 species